rnacentral:rRNA from 1 species
CGUAGGAGGCGAGCGUUAUCCGGAUUCACUGGGCGUAAAGCGCGUGCAGGUGGCUCGGUAAGUUGGGCGUGAAAUCUCCCGGCUCAACUGGGAGAGGUCGUUCAAUACUACCGAGCUAGAGAGCAGAAGAGGAAGAUGGAAUUCCCGGUGUAGUGGUGAAAUGCGUAGAUAUCGGGAGGAACACCAGUGGCGAAGGCGAUCUUCUGGUCUGUUUCUGACACUCAGACGCGACAGCUAGGGUAGUAAACGGGAUUAGAGACCCCGGUAAUCCUAGCCGUAAACGAUGUGAACUUGGCGUUGGUGGGUUAAACUCCAUCAGUGCCGAAGCAAACGCGAUAAGUUCACCGCCUGGGGACUACGGCCGCAAGGUUA